UUAAAAAUUAUGAAUGAAUUCUCAUCCAGUAAGUAGUAACAGUAGUCUGUGAUUUUUUAUUAUUGAAAAUUUUUUUCCAACAAAGUUUUAGUUCAGAAGAGCCUUUUACUGAAUAAAGGCUUGUAUUUUAAUACACGUGUAGGGUUUUUCUGCCAAUGGCUUGUAGCGGCACUUCAGUUUCCUCAACCAAUAAAAACUCGCAGCCACA
rnacentral:lncRNA from 1 species